AGAGAGAGACAUGCGCGCAUAUCAAUAAGCGGAGGAAAAGAAACUAACAAGGAUUCCCCUAGUAACGGCGAGUGAAGCGGGAAGAGCUCAAAUUUGAAAUCUUAAAGGGUUUCCCUUUACGAAUUGUAGUUUAAAGAAGUGUUUUCUGUUGAGGUUUUGGUAAAAGUUCUUUGGAAUAGGACAUCAUAGAGGGUGAGAAUCCCGUAUUUGACCUUUACUUUCAACUUUGUGAUACACUUUCAAAGAGUCGGAUUGUUUGGGAAUGCAGUCCAAAAUGGGUGGUAAAUUUCAUCUAAAGCUAAAUAUUGGCGAGAGACCGAUAGCGAACAAGUACCGUGAGGGAAAGAUGAAAAGAACUUUGAAAAGAGAGUUAAACAGUACGUGAAAUUGUCAAAAGGGAAGCGUUUGACACCAGUGUUGUUUUUCUGAAAAUCAAUUAAAGAACUGUUUAGUGCUAAGUUGUUUAGACUUUAUCAGCUAACUGUUUAGUUUUGAGCUUUUCUUUAAUGCACUUUUCAGUUAACAAGUCAACAUCAAUUUCUUUUGCUGUAAAAAAGCUUGAGGAAGGUGGCUUGAGAUUCGUCUUAAGUGUUUAUAGCCUCUUGCCUAUGCAGUCGGAGAGAUUGAGGUCUGCAGCGUAGAUCCUUCGGGGCUAAAUGCAUUUGUGCUAAGUUAUAGCAUUUUAUAGACAGCUUGUUGACUAUGAUUUGUCUUGUAGCUUACUCGCUUAUGUUAUUUUACCUACGCUUAGGAUGUUGAGCGCAUGUCUCUCUCU
rnacentral:rRNA from 1 species